UCCUCUUCAAACCCACAAGCAAAGGAUUCAUUCAAGGCUGUAAGCUGAGCAAAAUAGCUCGUGCAGAUUUACGACAUGGGGAGAGCUACGUGCUAGCGGUUACUCGCUGCUUGGGGUGGGUACAGAGCCACCUACCCCAUAACCAGCUCCCCAGAGCACUGGGAUCCGGCACCUCCCCCAGGUUACCGGGAAAGAGGAGGCUCCAUUUCGCUGUUCCUUAUGUGCCUCAGCACGUGGGUCUGCCAGGGAAGCAGACAUGCUCCUGAUGACUCCCUUGUGAAACACACAUUGGACAAUUAGUUACGCAAAUGCAAUAAGCUGGGGGCAUUAUGAACACAGACAGGAAGAAAGAGCAAGUUGAGAUUAGCCAUGACUAAAGGCACGGUGAAAUGCAGGAGCGUGAAGUGCCGGAGGAAGGACCGGGCUGGUGGCCGAGAAGAUUUCCACAGCCUGCUCAGGUGCUUUUGAAAUCAUUAGUCACAUUUAUGGAGGAGAAACAAUAGCACAGUGACUUGCCCCACCUCAUACACCAGGGACUGAAUCACUUGGUUAGGACACAGCACAGCUAGCAACAGCCGGACUCCCUCUGUGGUCUUAAAUGCAUAUGGUUAAGAGUUUAAUCAGUGAAGAAACAAAAUGGGGAAUGUUCAUCAGCACUUGCCCAUGGGAACAAAACCCAAGGGGGAACCGGAAAAAGACAAGUACAAUCAGUGUGACUCAUGGCGCAGCUGUUUUGCUGGUGCACUGCCCACAGGCAGGAUGCUCAGCCGAAGAGGCCAUUACAACCUUUAGACCCCACAGGACAUGUCAUGCUCCUCUUAAAUGUUGCAGAGCCAAGAUGUUCCGGUGGGUAUUUGCCUUCACAACACUCACAAGAAUUCUUAAUUCCCCUUUUUAAUCACAACUCAAAAUAAAAAGCACUAC